rnacentral:lncRNA from 1 species
GCUAUAAUGAAAUCCGACUAUUGCAAUAUAUUUCUCAUCAACAUUGUGGAAAUAAUUACUCCUUUUGAUCCAUCCAAAAUGAACAAAUAAUGAAACAAUAAGAUACAAGCAGAGACAAUCAUGUCUUAAUCCGCACCUUAAUUCAAAUCUUGAGCAAUCAAAGUACACUCCAACCUAAGGAAUCCUAAAAUAUUCAAGCUAAUUAGUGAUACAUUGUGGAAAAGCAAUAAAUGAGAGGAAUGCCGACAAAACGAGGAAAUCGCUGAGACCCUAGCUCUUGGUGGUACUGCCAAACAUGGGAUAGCUGAAGACUCUCUUACAUAAUAUGCUAACAAAGGCUAAGUAGAAAACAUAUGGUACCGAAGAAAAUAUCUUUGCCAUGAAAGAUCUAUGUGAUUCAACACUUGUCGAGGAAAUAUUACUUAGCCAUAUGGGUAUCAGAACUUAAAAAAUGUCGCCAUUUUCCUCCACUAGAUUUAUCUAUCUAAGCAGAGCAGCAUCCAACCUUUUUUACAGCUGAAACAUCAUCCUUAGUGCCAACAUUAAUUGUCUGUCCUUUAGGCAGUGCUGCUGGAUCCUCUCCAACCUCAAGAGCUUUCCUGCUGACAACUCGAUAUAUCUGAGUUAGCACCUCUGUGAAGGCAUUUUCCACAUUCAUAGAUUCCAGAGCAGAGGUUUCCAUAAAAAACGUGUUUUCCCUUUCAGCAAAUGCCUUCGCAUCCUCCGUGGAAACAGCCCUUAGGUGGCGCAAAUCUGCCUUGUUUCCCACAAGCAUAAUGACAAUGUUCGAAUCUGUGUGAUCCCGAAGCUCCUUUAACCAUCUCUCAACAUUUUCAAAUGUAACAUGACGAGUGACAUCGUAGACUAACAAUGCUCCAACAGCACCACGAUAGUAGGCACUUGUGAUUGCACGAUACCUUUAACAGAAGAAAAUAUUGAAACAGAGAAGUCAGUGAAUGAUUUUACCAACAAAAAAGAGAGCGGAAAAAUAUAUUAUACAAAAGAAAGAACUUAUCCAGAUCUCAUCAUGACUGUAUCCAAAUUGAAACGGAGAAAAGGCCAGUAGAUAGGAAGGGUAUCUUAGUCUUACAAAAAAGAUUAACAUGCAGAAAACUCAACAACUUUUUAAAGGAAUCAAUAUCUGCUUAGAAAACUUAGAUAGUAAUUUAAAACAUCAGAUCAUUGCAUAACAACUUCAUACAAACAAUGCAAAUGCCUCACACAAUUAUUAUAAUUGCAAAGAUCUUAACCAUUUCCAUAGUGUAACGUAUCAGCUUGUGCACGAAAACCAUGUUUUAGGUAUCUUCAUCUAAAAAUAUCCAUAAACGAUGUAUAUGUCAAUUCAAGCAUUCAAACGUCAAAAAGUAGGGUGCUGAAUUCUAAUCGAAUUGCAAUACAACUAACUAGAUCUUCUAAGCAUCACAAAGUCUACCAAAAGGAAUUAACUAUAAAGAUCUACCCUCCCACAUACACCAGCAUAAACUCACAGAAUUGUAGCAUGAAAUAACAAACACUCCAGAAAUUCUAACACCAUACUCUAGGUUCAGCAAACAAUUCUA